rnacentral:lncRNA from 1 species
CAGGGCAUAUGGAAGUUACCAGGCUAGGGAUCGAAUCAGAGCUACAGCCUCCGGCCUAGGCCACAGCCACAGCAAUGAGGGAUCCAAACAAUGUUUGUGACCUACAUCGCAGCUCACAGCAAUGCCAGAAUCCCCAACCCACCAAGGGAGGCCAGGGAUGGAAGCUGCAUCCUCAUGGAUACUAGUCGGAUUCAUUUCCGCUGGGCCACAAUAGGAACUCCACGACUGAAAACUGUUAAGUUGCAUCUAUCACAACAUUCUUCUAAAAGAUUCCUACAGGAUUCCACAAUUUCUGUAAACCAAACCACCUCAAAACUUAGUGUUAUAAAACAACCAUUUUAUUGUACUCACAGAUUCUGUGGACCAGGAAUUUGGGCAGAGCAAAGAAGGGAUGGCUUAUCUCCUCUCCACAAUGUCUGAGGCCUCAGCUGGAAAACUCAAAGGCUAGGGAUUGAAAUAAUCUGGAGGUAUCUUCAUUUACGUGUCUCAAGGUUGAUGCUGACUAUUGUUUGGAACUUCAGGUAACUGUCAACGCAACACCAGCCUGUAGCCUUUACAUGUAGUCAAACUGCAUAGACCUGUUUAGGCUUCCUCAUAGGGAUUUCUUAAACAAGAAACCAAAAACACUAGCUGUGAGAGAAAAACACAAAUAAGUACAUUAAGAAUAUUUAAGCACACUAAGAGUAAGAAUGCUUGUUCCUUGAAAGCACCAUAAAGAAUAAAAAGACACCUUGGAAUGGGAAAAUACAUUUGCAAAACACAUUUUUGAUAAAAGGUUCCUAUCUGGAAUAGAUGAAUAAUUCCAACAAAUAAGGAAUACAAACUAACUACAUUUUUUAAAAUGGGCAAAAUAUUUGAAUUGGCCAUUCACAGGGAGGGGAAUAUAAAUGGCCAACAAAUAUUGAAAAGAUAUUCAAACUCAUUUGCAAUUAAGGAAACACAAAUUAAAAUCAUUUUAAAAAAACAAUAUAUUUGUAUCACUUUGCAAAAAUUAUGAAGUCUGACAAUAAAAAGUACUGUUAAAGAUAUGAAACAACUGGAAUUAUCAAAAACUCUCAGAGAAUACACUGGUACCAUAAGAUUGAAAAUCAGUUUGGUACUGUCUGGUAAAAAUAAAGAUAUGAAUAUCUGAUGAGCCAACAACUACUUUGUAUAUAGGCUGGAGAAACUGUGCACAUGUGACCAGAAGAUAUGUACAACCUGUACCAUUUGAACAUCAACCUGUAAAACUAUACAUAGAACUACCAUAUGACCCAGCAAUCCCACUCUUGGGCAUAUAUCCGGACAAAACUUUCCUUAAAAAAGACACAUACACCUGCAUGUUCAUUGCAACACUAUUCACAAUAGCCAAGACAUGGAAACAACCCAAAUGUCCAUCAACAGAUGAUUGGAUUAGGAAGAUGUGGUAUAUAUACACAAUGGAAUACUACUCACCCAUAAAAAGAACAAAAUGCCAUUUGCAGCAACAUGGAUGGAACUAGAGACUCUCAUACCGAGUUAAGUAUGUCAGAAAGAGAAAGACAAGUACCAUACCAUAUACAAAAUCAUUUAUAUCUGGAAUCUAAUAUAUGGCACAAAUGAACAUUUCCACAGAAAAGAAAAUCAUGGACUUGGAGAAUAGACUUGUGGUUGCCAAGGGGAAGGAGGAGGGAGUGGAUGGUUUGGGAGCUUGGGGUUAAUAGAUGCAGGCUAUUGCCUUUGGAAUGGAUUAGCAAUGAGAUCCUGCUGUGGAGCACUGGGAACUAUGUCUAGUCACUUAAUGAUGGAGCAUGAUAAUGUGAGAAAAAGAACGUAUACAUGUAUGUGUAACUUGGUCACCAUGCUGUACAGUAGAAAAACAAAUUAAUUAAAAAAUAAAAAUAUAAAAUUUCCAUAUGACAGCCCAUCCAUCAGAAGAUAUGGUGCCUCAGGCCAGAUUCACCAAGUACUUCCCUGAAGCAGGGGAGUCUUAAAGAUAUUAACGUCUUUUUAAUAGGUCUUUAGCAGUCCACUCAUGCCUAGUCCAGCACAAACCAGAAGCCUGGACACAAUUAUUACAGAGAUAAAUUGUUGGGCACUAACUCUGUGCCCAACAGAGAUUUAUUUCUACUUCUUUUUCAAGAAUGAAAAUCACUAAGCACCUGCUAAUAAGAUGGGAAAGGAUUCUGGGGUCCUGGAAGCUACAGUUUAUGCAAAAACAACAUAAUUACUAGCCCAUAAAAGCAUAAACCCAUCACUUUCUCAGAAAGAGAAACACAAAAACAUGACCACUCUGGAAGUGUAUUUUUCAUCUUUUCUGUGAGGACCUUCAAAGAAGCUUGACAAUGAGAAGAAAACAUGCCUUUUAGGAACAAAAUAAUGCCAUUUACAGCAGCAUGGAUGGAAAUAGAGACUUUAGUACUAAGAGAAAUAAGUCAG